rnacentral:misc_RNA from 1 species
GCGGCAAGCCUGUCAGUC